rnacentral:rRNA from 1 species
AUACGGAGGGUCCAAGCGUUAUCCGGAUUCAUUGGGUUUAAAGGGUCCGCAGGCGGGAAAAUAAGUCAGUGGUGAAAGCCUACAGCUCAACUGUAGAACUGCCAUUGAUACUGUUUUUCUUGAGUAUAGAUGAAGUGGGCGGAAUAUAUCAUGUAGCGGUGAAAUGCAUAGAUAUGAUAUAGAACACCGAUUGCGAAGGCAGCUCACUAAACUAUUACUGACGCUCAGGGACGAUAGCGUGGGGAGCGAACAGGAUUAGAAACCCUAGUAGUCC